rnacentral:rRNA from 1 species
UGGGGAAUAUUGCACAAUGGGCGGAAGCCUGAUGCAGCCAUGCCGCGUGUGUGAAGAAGGCCUUAGGGUUGUAAAGCACUUUCAGUUGGGAGGAAGGGGUAGUGCCUAAUACGUACGACCAUUGACGUUACCAACAGAAGAAGCACCGGCUAACUCCGUGCCAGCAGCCGCGGUAAUACGGAGGGUGCAAGCGUUAAUCGGAAUUACUGGGCGUAAAGCGCACGCAGGCGGUUGAUUAAGUUGGAUGUGAAAUCCCCGGGCUUAACCUGGGAACUGCAUUCAAGACUGGUCAGCUAGAGUCUCGUAGAGGGGGGUAGAAUUCCACGUGUAGCGGUGAAAUGCGUAGAGAUGUGGAGGAAUACCGGUGGCGAAGGCGGCCCCCUGGACGAAGACUGACGCUCAGGUGCGAAAGCGUGGGGAGCAAACA